GAAUUUAAAUUCGGUAGGAAGUUGUUAGGAUUUGGUUAGAUUUGUAGUUAAAUUCUAUUUGGAUAAGAAUUAAUAUUUAAAUCUGUUUGAGAUAAAUUAAGAUUUAAAUAUUAAUUAGAGGAUAAAUCUAACUAGAUUAGGAUUAAUAUUUAAAUAUAUUAGAGAUUAAUUAAGAUAGAUUUAGAUAUUAAUUGGAGUAGAAAUCCUAAAUAUAUUAGGAUUGGGGUACGUUUUAGUGAAGCCUUAUAAAUAGCUCUUUGUGGGUUUGCUUUUGAGAUGAAGUACGGGAGAGAGAGAGAGAGAGUCUCUUGGGUUGCCGUACCAGAGAGAGAAAGAGAGAGAGAGAGAGUUAUUUAAUUAUGCUUUGAGUGCACCUAGUGCACGGGUGCAUGUGAAGGAUUGUCUUCUUUAUGGGUUUAUAGAAGACGAGAGAAGGGUAGAAGAGAUUCAGAAAGAGGCUCGGGUUGUAACUACUCUGUGCAUAGAGGAGUCAGGUGUAAUCUUCUCUUAUUUAAUGAAUCUUAUUUUACCCGCAUAUUUUCUGUUUUUGGUAUUUCUCUCUUUUAUGAUUGUAUCAGCUUUUGCUGAGGAGACAGGUUUAUGAUAAAAAUCCGAUUUGACGUUUCCGUUGCGGAAUCCCAACAAUCGAUACCGAAUCCACAGCAGUCGGUAUCGGAGCGGGUUGCGGAUUCACGAGAUCCGGUACCGGGGCGAGUACCGGAUUCCCAACAAGUGGUAUCAGAGCCGAAGGUUACCGAUCUGCGGGAGAGAUCGACGGAGAUGGCCACGAAAUUCGAAAUCGAGAAGUUCGACGGCAAGAACAAUUUCGGAUUAUGGCAAAUUAAAGUACGAGCGAUCCUCGUACAGCAAGAAUUGGACGAGACGUUGAACGGGAAGGAGGCGAAGCCGGCGGAGGUCACGGAUGCGGCAUGGACGAAGAUGGAGCGGAAGGCGCUGAGUACGCUUCAUCUAUCAUUAGCAGAUGAGGUUCUUUACAAUGUAGCCGGCGAGACGACACCGGCGAAAUUGUGGAAGAAAUUGGAAGAUCUGUACAUGACCAAAUCCCUGACGAACAGAUUGUAUCUGAAGCAGCGACUGUUUACGUUGCGGAUGCAAGAAGCGGCGAGCCUACAUGAUCAUCUAAAUGAGUUCAACAAGGUGGUGGCCCAGUUGACCAGCAUCGGAGUCAAUCUGGAUGACGAAGACAAGGCGUUGAUCCUACUAUCUUCGCUACCGACGACAUAUGAGCAUCUGGUGACCACGUUGCUUUAUGGCAAGGAGUCCAUAAGCGUGGAGGCGGUCACGGCGGCGCUUCUCUCGAACGAGAUGCGGAAGAUGACUCAGGAGUCCGGCACGCAAAGUCAGGAUGUAGGACUGGUGGUGACUGCGAAGAAGGAGGCGAGAAUAUCGGCGACCGGAUAUCGACAGAAGAAACCGCUAUCUGAGGUAGAAUGCUUUUACUGUCACAGGAAGGGGCAUAUCAAGCGCAAUUGUCGAAAACUUCAGGAUGAUCUGAAGGAGUUAAAGCGACAGAAGGAGCAAACUGUCGUGAACCAGGACGAGACGGUAUCAGCGACGGCGCAGACAGCAGAGUCGGAGAUGAUCGAUUCUGAUGUGCUGUAUGCGGCGACCGGAGGUGCGAAAAUUUCGGACGAUGCGUGGGUGCUCGAUUCGGCGUGUUCUUUUCACGUAUGCCCGGAGAAGGAGUCUUUUGCCACCUAUAAGGCGAUCAAAGGUGGAAAGGCGCUGAUGGGGAACGGGACAGCGUGCAAAGUAUUGGGAGUCGGCAUGGUGAAAAUCCGAAUGCACGAUGGGGUCGUGAGGACGCUGACAGGUGUGCGGCACGUUCCUGGAUUGAAGCGGAAUUUGAUCUCGUUAGGCGCAUUGGACUCGAAGGGUUGCGAUAUUUCAGCUUCAGGUGGAGCUAUGAGGGUCCGAAAACGAGAUCGGGUCGUAUGCGAGGCGAACAAGCGUGGGAACUUAUACGUUCUGAACGGGAGCACAGCCAGAACGGGAGCGAAGACGGUUUGGGUUCCAAAAGUUCGCGGAUGUGCAGUUGCUCGAGACGGAGCGACGGAUGCGGCGACAUCGAGCGGAGGAGACAAGCUCAAGGUGGAGCUUGCAUGGUGAGCUCGACGUAGCGGUUGAAAAUUACAAAUCAAACCAAGGUGGAAAAUGUUAGAAUUUGGUUAGAUUUGUAGUUAAAUCCUAUUUGGAUAAGAAUUAAUAUUUAAAUCUGUUUGAGAUAAAUUAAGAUUUAAAUAUUAAUUAGAGGAUAAAUCUAACUAGAUUAGGAUUAAUAUUUAAAUCUAUUAGAGAUUAAUUAAGUUAGAUUUAGAUAUUAAUUGGAGUAGAAAUCCUAAAUAUAUUAGGAUUGGGGUACGUUUUAGUGGAGCCUUAUAAAUAGCUCUAUGUGGGUUUGCUUUUGAGGUGAAGUACGGGAGAGAGAGAGAGAGUCUCUUGGGUUGCCGUACCAGAGAGAGAAAAAGAGAGAGAGAGUUUGCUUUUGAGGUGAAGUACGGGAGAGAGAGAGAGAGUCUCUUGGGUUGCCGUACCAGAGAGAGAAAAAGAGAGAGAGAGAGAGUUAUUUAAUUAUGCUUUGAGUGCACCUACUGCACGGGUGCAUGUGAAGGAUUGUUUUCUUUAUGGGUUUAUAGAAGACGAGAGAAGGGUAGAAGAGAUUCAGAAAGAGGCUCGGGUUGUAGCUACUCUGUGCAUAGAGGAGUCAGGUGUAAUCUUCUCUUAUUUAAUAAAUCUUAUUUUACCUGCAUAUUUUUCUCUUUUAUGAUUGUAUCAGCUUUUGUUGAGGAGACGAGUUUAUGGUAAAAACCCGAUUUGAUGUUUCCGUUGCGGAAUCCCAACAAUCGAUACCGAAUCCACAGCAGUCGGUAUCGGAGCGGGUUGCGGAUUCACGAGAUCCGGUACCGGGGCGAGUACCGGAUUCCCAACC
rnacentral:lncRNA from 1 species